UACGAAGGGUGCAAGCGUUACUCGGAAUUACUGGGCGUAAAGCGUGCGUAGGUGGUGAGUUAAGUCUGAUGUGAAAUCCCCGGGCUCAACCUGGGAAUGGCAUUGGAUACUGGCUCGCUAGAGUGCGGUAGAGGGUGGUGGAAUUCCCGGUGUAGCAGUGAAAUGCGUAGAGAUCGGGAGGAACAUCUGUGGCGAAGGCGGCCACCAGGACCAACACUGACACUGAGGCACGAAAGCGUGGGGAGCAAACGGG
rnacentral:rRNA from 1 species